GUUAGUGGGCUUGGGCGUUGGGUGAAGUAUCCAGGUUGGGCGCUUCCAGCGCUUUCUGUGGCGGGGGAAUGAAGGCCUAGGUCAGGGAAUAGGAAGGUGUAUCGCCGCCAGAGUGCGGAACACCCUCGCCUUGAGGGUUCCCACAGUGACUUGCAAAAGUCUAGUGAGACCCGAGAAUGCUGAGGCGGGACACGAAGCAUGUGGUUCUUGUGGUUGCGACGCUCGUGCCGCCAUCUUGGGUGCUGGCGGCGGAAACCGGUACCCCAACUUCCCCUCGGUGCGAACCUGGAGAAGCCACCCCAGCUGUGAGGGACGGUUGCGCCUCAUGGCCCAGGCAAGGGUACCUUCGCUGGAGCAGUACCGCGGACGGAUAUCAUGAGGGUGGUGGGACGUUGGCGGAACGUUGGCGGAACGUUGGCGGUGUGAGAGGCUGGACUGGAACUCCUGGACUCAAGCGAUCUUUCCAUUUAUCAGGGACUACUGACGCGUGUCUCCCAAUAAAUACCUGAGUAUAAACAA